AGAACGGCUCCUUUUCAAUGCUAUUAUAGAGAUGGAAUAUGUCCUAGUCUAAAAGAGUUUCACAAACAUAGAUUUAAAUUUAAUAUAGUGUUGAGAAAUGUUUCCUUAAGUAUUUACAAGGGUUUCAAGUCUUGAUGUCUGCCUCUUAAAAAACAAGUCAAAAAACAAAAACAAUCCCCCCCUUUAAAAAAACACACACAAACUUUAAAUAUGUGUGACUUACUAUAGAGAAAUGUAGCAGAGAGAACCACAAUGUCAGACAUGGAUUCCACCCUUUCCCUGGCCCUAAAGUGACCAUCAAUUUCUUCAUGCAUGAAAUAAAGUGGGCUAGGUUAUUAUAAUGUUUCCAAGGUGCUGGAUUUAUACCAAGAGGUACUCUAGAUGACUAAGACAUUAGACAAUACUAAAACAGAUGGAGAGAAAGUAAUUCCUUUUAAUUCUCUUCUAAUUCCUGAUUAUUAUAAGAAAAAGGUCUUAGGCCAGCCCUAUACUGUUUUUAUCUUCUAAUACAUGCUAUCUUCUUUUAAAAAAAAAGGAAACAGAGAGCAGGCUCUCAGCUCAGAGAGUUUCUACAGAUAACAGCCUGUGGGUGGAAUUCAUUACCAGUGUUUCAACUGUCAAUUGAUAUUGCUUUUACCUCUCUUUGCUGAGAAGGAUAUAUUUCUUAUCCAUUUAUGACAGGGAUUUAUAUCAAGCUUUCUUUUCAAAUUUAAGUAAUAGUAUAGUUGGUACAUGAAUGCCUGAAGUUUGGGGGCACCAGACCAGAAACCUCCAGCAACUUAUAAAUGCAGAGAAAGUUCUGGACUCAGCAAGUCUGAAGGAGGGUCCAGAGCUGGUUCCUUGGCUGAGCUGACCUAGAGUAGCCCUAUUUGAUUGGAAUUCCUUUCGCUGCUCCCUGAACUUAAAGCGUCUCGCUUUGUUGCUGCUUAGACUGCCUGUGGUGUAGAACUGGUAGAAAAAGCCUACUGAAGCUGCAGCUGCCGGAAUAAAAGGGUGUAUCUUUUCUGAGUUGGGGCUGUUUAGAAGCCUGGCUUUCUGAAAGAAGCAUGCUGAAGGAGCCACGAAACCCUUAUGAUCAGUAGGUCACAAUGACAGAAAGGGACACAAAUACAGUCCUGGAGGAAAGGGGAUGUGUGGCUGCUGGACGCGUACAGUGACUGAACUCGCUACUUCCACGUCAUCUCACUCCCACACAGGAGUGGCUUUUGGUCACCUCCCCUGGACAUUCACCAGCCUCUGCAUGGACAGCAUUCUGAAACCAACGGAACAGCGACUGACACUUAGGGACUGAGCGCCAGCCGCGGAUGAGGAAAGUCGCCACCGUCCGCAGGAUGUUCAAAGGUGUUCCAGGUAAUUCUUGGCUCUCUAUUCUUAUGGAAACACAUUUCUCUUCCUCACAGAGGUAGGCGUCACCUUUCAGAAGGCUUUUCCAUCUGACCCUUGUGCGACCUUUUCAGAGGUAAGGAGCUGGAUGCAGUGUGCGUUGCUGACUUCAAUUCCAGAAUUCAGUGGGGUGAGUGAGCCUGAGGCCUUAGGUCGCAGUAUUUGUAUUCACUCAUCUCAGCGGACAGGCUGAGACCGGAAACGACUUCUCAUUUGAAAGUAAAAUCCCUACAGCUGCUUUUAAAAACCUGUUAAAAAUACAUAUGUAUGCUCUCAUGUUGAAACAUCCCCUUUUAUAAUUCUUUAAUAGGUUUUCAAACAUAGGAAUUCACCUCUCAAAGCAUCAAAUUUAACUGAUACUUUUCAAAAAUAGCAGCCACAAAACAGUAUGUCCACAAAUAGAAAAAGGUAUCCCUUGCCUAAUGGUCACGUGUGUUUCUAGUAGGUUUUUCCA